AGGUGAGUCAGUGUUCCCAUAUAAUCCCCAUGUGCACAGCAGGGCUGGGUUACGGUACAAGGCUGAGAAAGCAGGUGGGAGGCAGGUGGUAAGAAUCCUCGGCCCUUCACAAAUCAGCUUGGAUGACGGCGGCCUGUGUAUAACCAUAUACCCUAUUUUGUUCCGAAGAGAGCUGGAAGCAAUUUAUGUCCGAGUCGCAUGAAUGCAUGAGGACGGAAGAAAAGAGUGGAGAGUCAAAACACUGGAUGAUAUCCCACUGCCUGGACGUACCCACAGUUUACCCAGCACCUACUGGAGGACCUCUCGGCUGCUUCCAGUUGUCGCCAAUUACUGCUGUAAACAUCCAGGUGUAGGUUUCGGUGCAGACAGGCUUUCCGCUGCUUUGGGUAAAUACCAAGGAGCAGGGCUGCUGGACUGUUCGGUUUCGUAAGAAACGGCAACCGCCGUCCAGAGCAGCCGCACCGGGCCGCGCCCCCACCACCGGGAGCGAGAGCCCCUGCCGUGCCACGUCUUCGCCAGCGUCUGCUGCUGUCGGUGCUCCGGGCCUCAGCCGUCCGGCCGCCAGCUGGUGUGCAAUGGUACUGAACCUGCACUUCCUGACGCUGUGUGAUGUGGAGCAUCUUGUCGUGUGCUCACGUGCCGUCGGUGCAUCUUUGGUGAGGCAACUAUUCGUAUCUUUGCCUAUUUUUAAAAUUGGGUGGUUUUCAUGUCGAGUUCUAACUUUGUAUAUCUUGCUUACCAGUUAUUUAUCAAAUAUGCCUUUUAUAAUAUGUUUUAAUAUGUGAAAUAGGUACACAGGUAUUUAAAUAAAACAUGUUUGUUGGGGUAUCACCUA